rnacentral:lncRNA from 1 species
GCUCACGGCUCAGCCGCCUGAGACCUGCCCUCACACUGCUCAGCUCCGUUCCUCCCGGAGAAGCCCACGUGGGAAUCACAGCCAAAGGGAAGAGAAACUGCUCUUCAACAGGAGCAAGAGAGACCCGCCCAGGCUGCAGCGACAGCUUGACUGAAAGAGAGAUUCAGGUCAGUCCAGAGGGCCCCCCACCCCGAGAGUGAGGCGGCUGAGCCCGGGACAAAGCCGGUGCCAUACUGCCGGCUCCCUCCUGGGAGGGGGAGCAGGAAAGGAGGAGGGGUAAAGAGCCACUGAUGCCUGGAGCCCCCCACGGGGGACACGCAGCACCAAGAGAUGUGGCAGAAGCCUCCUGAUCCACCCCCCACACACAGGGCAAGGGACAGACCUCAGACUCAGUUCACCAGGCACAGUCUUCCAUCUGGUCCUGUGACUGUUGAAGCACAUCUGUCUCCACACCCCCGAGGCUGGGGACCUCUCAAGGGAAGAGUCGCCUCUCCUCGUGAUGUCCGUGGAACUUCUAGAGCCUGGCAUAGCACUGGCUGUAUGGCCUCCUUAGUACGUCCGCUGUUGACAAGACGGGAGAGUGAGGACAUAUGUCACCAAGACGAAGGAUCCAGUGCAAAGCUGCCUGUGGAGCCACGCUCCUCGGGAAUCUCAUGAUGAAACAUUCAUGGGCCCCUCUGCUGGCCUCUCCCGAGCAUUCUGCUCCAGGAGCUGCCGGUGUGGCGGGCUGUAUAACAGUGGCCCUGACUGCAGGCACUAGAGUCUGACACUACGAACAAGGACCAGGGGUACUCGCACCUGCCGUUUGUAAGAGGCCCCAAGAUGGGCAGCCUCGUGCAGCCCAGGCAUCAGCGAAGGUGCCGCAGGACCCAGAGAGGGGUGACUGCGAGUGGCAGUGCCCGCUGCGGGCCAGGUGCUGC